rnacentral:misc_RNA from 1 species
AUUCGCUUAUCUGAUGUUGAAGUCGCCGCCGCUAUGAUACGAAAAUGACACCGCUUCUCUUUUACUUAUUUAUAAUUGCUACAAAUCGAUUCUUCUCGUCCGUACAUAGUUUUUCGGCUGUUCGAAUUUGCUCGAAGGCUAUCGGAUUAACCGGAAGACAAAGGAGCAUUUGUAGUUCCAGACCGGAUGCCAUGAUUGCCAUAAUCGAAGGUGAAGAAUUGGCAAAGGAAGAGUGCCGAUAUCAAUUUCGUAAUCAUAGAUGGAAUUGUGCUAGAUUUCCCCCAGGAGUCGAAUUAUUCCCAAAAAAUUACACCGGUAUGUGUAAUAUAUUAAUAGUUUGCUAUUUAAAUAAAGAAUUAUUUAAAUAUUUAUAUCUAAUGCUAUUUUAAAGUUGAAUAUUAAAGGUGUGUAUUAAAUUAAAUAUGCUGUAUAUUUCUCCCCUCCUCAUAGAAAAAGGUGUAUAGUAUAUCAAUCAGUAGAUCUAUUGUGUCAAUGUUGUUGUUAUUUUUGCCUGAUUUGUCGCAAAUCGCUUAUAUUUAUACUAUAUAAGCUUAUUUUCAGACAACAAGACUCAUAGGAAUUUUUCUAAGAGUCAUAGAGGUGAGUUAAAAUAAACUAACCGACUUUCUCCUCCUAUUCCUACUCCGCCGCCUGCCUUUCUUUUCAAACUCAUUUAUUCUCCUUUCUCCUUUUUCAUAACCAACCUUUCCUCCACCCCCCACUACGCUCUCUCUCUCUCUUUCUCUCUUUCUCUUCUUUCUCUCUCUCUCUUUCUACUACUUUCUUUCCCCCCCUUUCUAUCUGACUAUUUAUCUUUCUAUCUAUCCCGCUUAUUCUGUCUCUCUUUUCAUGAAAUGUUAAUUCUCCUAUAAUCCUUCUAGUUAUUCAGUUGAGUAAUGAAAGAAUUCAAUCUUGAGGCUUAUAAGUUAAUAUAGGUAGUGUAAAAAUUAUCAGUUAUGACUCCUCUUAUACAAAUAAGCAGAAGAUUGUUUUUGAAAGAAAAAUGCCGUAAGGCAAAUUGAUAGAAAUAAUAAAUGGGUGAAUAUAUGACUAACAGCUACGAGGGAGGUAGCAGCAGUUUACGGAAUGAGGUCAUCAGCUGUAGCAUUUUCAAUAGCGAAACAUUGCAGUCAGGGACAUAUUCCGAAUUGCAGUUGCGAUAGAAAGCGAAGAGCUGACGACUGGUCAUGGAGUGGAUGUUCACCAAAUUUAAGAUAUUCCCUUGGACUUACAAAGAUUUUCGUCGAUUCCAAAGAGAGGCCGGGUAGUAACAGAGAGAAAGUUAUGAAUAUUCAUAAUAACGCCGUAGGAAGAAAGAUAAUGCGUAAAAGCAUGGAAACCAAAUGUAAAUGUCAUGGAACUUCCGGUUCGUGCGCUAAGAAAACUUGCUGGAAAUCGUUGCCGACUUUUAGACAAGUUGGUAAAAAAGUAUAUAAACACUACAAAAAAGCUAGGCCAGUGUCGACAUCUAACGGUAGGAUGAGAUUAAGAAGAUCAGAAAUUCAAAGAAAUAAAGUAUUGAGAAAGCAUUUAAUCUACUUAAGUAAAUCACCUUCUUAUUGCGAAGCUGAUGAGAGAGAAGGUUUUGAAGGAACAAGAAGAAGAAGAUGCUCUUUAAAGGGACCCGCAAGUUGCCGACGUUUAUGCUGCGAGCGUGGAUUUACUCUACAAGUUUUUAAUCAAACUGAAAAGUGCCAUUGUAAAUUCCAAUGGUGCUGCAAGCUUGUUUGUCAGACCUGCUAUAAUACUGUUAAGGAAAGAUUGUGUAAUUGAUAAAGUUUAACUCUGUUUUUUUUUUUAAAAAAAUGUAAAAUACGAAGAAAAAAGUUUUAUAUUUCUCUUCAUAUUUUACGUAUAAAGAGUAACUAUGUUUUUUUAAUAACCUCAUUUAAUAGAUCAAACAGUGAGAGAGCGAAAGAGCGAAAGAGAGAGAGAGAGAGAGAGAGAGAGAGAGAGA